rnacentral:tRNA from 1 species
AAGGCUUUAAGUUAAUUUAAACUAAUAUCCUUCAAAGCUAUAAAUAAAGAUUAAGCUUCUUUAAGUCUUA